CAAGUCGAAACAAAAUAUCGUUACACAUAUACUUUUUAAGUGAAAAUCAUGCAUAUAUUUAACAUUUAAGGUGCCCAGCUUCCCUAGUAAGGGGCUCGGCAAAAUAAUCAUCACGUCAUCUCCGUCAUCAUCAUCAUCAUAACCAUCCUCAUCACCAAUCAUAUAUAUAAUAUACAUACCCGGCCCUCUAGUGAGGAACUCGGUGACAUAUGCAAGAAACUCCGCACGAACAUUACCCGGCCCGAGACUCGGUGAAAUGAUAAAUGACUCUAUGCACGAGCAGAAUAUUAUGAGCAACCAUAUGCAAUUAAAAUCAUUUCUUAUAACUCAAUAGAACAAUCAACGUGAACCAGCAAGGAGUAUUACCAAAGAUUAAUGUUUUAUCAAGAUUAUGAACCUUUAAUACGAUAUGGAAACGUAAAAUUUUAAUGACUCUAAGAAGCAUUACCAUAGAUAUUAGAGAUCAUCAUAGCCUUAGACAUAGCCGAUAUAUAGAGGAAUAAUUGUGGAAGCAAGAAUAUACAUCACCUAGACGCUUUUAGAGGUAAGUAUCAAAUCUGUCCGUUAUUCGCUUAUUUUUAAAAGUCAUGCCAAGCAAAGAAAGAAGGGACAGCGUUACAUACCGUAUAAUUGAGCCGCACGUCCAAUAUUUACUGCUCAGCUAUUAAUCUAUAACAAGCAACAAUUGUGCCGCAAUUAGAUAAACAUCGUGCUUUACUUUCUUGUAAGCUAGCUAAUAAUCUAACGAAAAUUCGGCAGCACCUCCCCUAUUUUCCUUACUUCGUCCCAAUCCGACAACAAUCCAAAUUAUCCACAUCAAUACCAAUAACACAUAUAACCCAAAGAAUCAUAUAAACAGCCCAAGCACCAACAUGACACCACUAAUAAUCCGAUUAUGGUUUCCAUUCAUACUUAGCACAUUCAAUAACUAAAACAAACUUCCUAAGCUACUGGUCACGCCCCCUUCUUAAAAUUAAUGGAUAAUUAACAAGGGUAUUCUAAAGAAUUAACACACCAAACAAGGAGAUUACUAACCAAAUUAUUUGCAGCUGCUGGCCAAGAGUUGCAGGGUUGGUUUCUCCAUUUCCAUGGCUGCCUAAGACAGGUGGUGAAGAAGAAGAUGAUAUGCAGCAAUGAAUUUCACCACUUUAUAUAGCAUGGAGUGGAUUUCUCCACCUCAUUUAAUAGUAUGGAGUGGAGGCAGCCCCCCUCUACACCUGUCCACUAAGGCCAGCCCACAAUCUGAUCCCUUUUUAAUUUUUGCCUUGAGUGGUGGGGCCCAUUGGAUUAAAUCAAUCCAAAUUAGCCACUAAUUAAUCCCUCAC
rnacentral:lncRNA from 1 species